AAGGUAGCCAAAUGCCUC
rnacentral:ncRNA from 2 species